UUUCAAAAAAUAAUAAGUCAUUUUUAAACUUACAAUUUUAGUUAAAAAAAUAAAUAAAUAAACGAAUUCAAAAUUUUACGCUCUAUUCAAUCAUGGUAAAAAUUAAUGUGUCUUCAUUCUAUUCACGUAUACAAAAUAUACCUGAUGGUAGUUCAGACUCUGAAUGGUCUGAUGAUGAAGAUUUAUAUAUACACAUAACCUAUAUUUCAACAAGACGAAUGUUUUGUUCCUGACACUGAUGAAGAUACUACUAUUGAUCUCAUUAAGAAUGAAAUCAAAAAGACUGAUGAAAAAGUGUGUAAAUUACACUGGCUAGUUAGAAGACAUUCCUUACUAAACCUGAUAAACAAACACCUCCUGUAUGUAGUCAUCCUAAUCAUUCAACGUUGCCAUAUUACCCUUUGAACCGUACGCAGCAUACCGAAUGAACAGGAAUAUCAAAUGUUCAUGAAGGAAUCAAGGAGUUUUCUAACCAGCAUGUGAUUGGACUACAGUUGCAUACCAAGUCCUGUUAAACAAUUUCUUGACAACUCGCAAGACGUCAGGCGCCUUAAACGUUUGAAGCCCUCAGAUUUUGUUUAAGCAAUUUUGGUUAAAGAAAAGAUUAAUCUCAUUGGAGAAACAACCCUAAACAUGUUUAAGUAUAUAAUAUUUAUUGCUCACA